GAUGAACGCUAGCGGCAGGCUUAAUACAUGCAAGUCGAGGGGCAGCACGGUUAGCAAUAACUGGUGGCGACCGGCGCACGGGUGCGUAACACGUAUACAAUCUACCUUAAACAGGGGGAUAGCCUUUCGAAAGAGAGAUUAAUACCCCGUAAUAAAUUGAACGGCAUCGUUUGAUUUUGAAAGCUCCGGCGGUUUGAGAUGAGUAUGCGUCUGAUUAGCUAGUUGGUGAGGUAACGGCUCACCAAGGCGACGAUCAGUAGGGGAUCUGAGAGGACUAACCCCCACACUGGUACUGAGACACGGACCAGACUCCUACGGGAGGCAGCAGUAAGGAAUAUUGGUCAAUGGAGGCAACUCUGAACCAGCCAUGCCGCGUGCAGGAUGACGGCCCUAUGGGUUGUAAACUGCUUUUAUACAAGAGAAAACCCUGGUACGUGU
rnacentral:rRNA from 1 species